UACAGAGGUCUCAAGCGUUGUUCGGAUUCAUUGGGCGUAAAGGGUGUGUAGGUGGCGCCGUAAGUCAGGUGUGAAAUCUCGGGGCUUAACUCCGAAACUGCAUUUGAUACUGCGGUGCUUGAGGACUGGAGAGGAGACUGGAAUUUAUGGUGUAGCAGUGAAAUGCGUAGAUAUCGUAAGGAAGACCAGUGGCGAAGGCGGGUCUCUGGACAGUUCCUGACGCUGAGGCACGAAGGUCAGGGGAGCAAACGGG
rnacentral:rRNA from 1 species